ACCUACGGGAGGCAGCAGUGGGGAAUAUUGCACAAUGGGGGAAACCCUGAUGCAGCGACGCCGCGUGAAGGAAGAAGUAUUUCGGUAUGUAAACUUCUAUCAGCAGGGAAGAAAGUGACGGUACCUGACUAAGAAGCCCCGGCUAACUACGUGCCAGCAGCCGCGGUAAUACGUAGGGGGCAAGCGUUAUCCGGAUUUACUGGGUGUAAAGGGAGCGUAGACGGCCAGACAAGUCUGAAGUGAAAUCCAGCGCUUAACGUUGGAAGUGCUUUGGAAACUGCCGGGCUAGAGUGCAGGAGGGGCAG
rnacentral:rRNA from 1 species